rnacentral:lncRNA from 1 species
UUUUUUGCAAAAACUAAAACCCCGAUAAUAGGUUAAAUAUUGUAAUGAUUAAGAUUUUGUAGUAUUAUAUGAUUACAUUUUUUUCCAACAAUUUCAAGUUUACCCAUUUUUCAUCACGCUAAAAUAGUAUUAAAGUCUGAUUGACAAAACCUUUCACUAAUAUAAUCUAGCUAGUAUGCGAUCAAUUGAUAGCAUAUGGAUCUAUAAAUCCAAAGUUACAGGUUUGAACAACAAUAACAACAACAAAAGCCCCCCAUAGUUGAUCAAUUCUCCUCCUUUUGUCAAAAGAACCACAUAAUGGAACUGAUCUCUGGCUCUGUGUGGAAGAGCUGGUCAUGAAAGAACAACUGCAAGACAAAACAACAGACUGGAAAGGAACGACUAAGGAUAUGUCCGGUCCUGAUACCUUAACCGCUGAACCGUGACUAAAGUUGGUGCCUUUAGUCGCGGUUAGGUAUUGUUCAUUACUCUAUUGGACUCCCCUUAGCCACAAACAGAACAGAAAAAGAGAGGUUGUUGCAGAAAGGAAAAAAGGAUGAUACCCAGUUGAAAAAGGUUGGAUCUUGGAAGAACCCUGGAAAACUAGAUGUACAACCCGAUUUCGCCUCUCUUUCGACAGCAACCUUUCCGAAAAAGGGACGAAGUGAUGCAUGUACAGCUAGUGAGAUGUCCUUAAGGUUAGGUGAACGAGAGGGAUAUCAUUAUCAUCCAACCAACCAAACACUGGUGUGGGUCAUUAGUUCCGAAUGGUAUUAUCCAAAGGAUAUAAACAAAUCAAAAACAGGUGUAUGUUCCUUGCACGUUACUAGACACUUAAUCAAUCACCUACUGGAACUUGCAAAAGAGACAUGAAUCUUUCAAUUUUUCUGGUGAUUGGUACAACUCCCUGGCCUGGCUUUUCAUUUGCAUAAUUUAAGAGGGAAAUGAGUGAAACAGCCUUAUCAAGUAGUGCAAACAUAAACAGACAAGUAAGUGCAGCAUCAAUUUGGGGACCAGACAGGAAGGACAAGAACACACAUGGUACAAGCACACAGAUCAUGAGUAAUCAGAAUUCAGAAAAAGAAAUGACAUACCGUAACAUCUGCAGCACUCCUAGUUGUUACGGCUCAACGAAGCUUCGAUAACUUGGAUCAGAUCCGUCCAUACCCUGCAGCUCGACUGGAAAAUUAAAUUCAAAGUUACAAUAUGAAACUAAAUGGACAAAACAAUGGAGAAAUUGCUGAUGCAAGUUGUGGAGCUUAUGAAAUGCGGUCAAAAGGAGUCCACGCACCAGAAUGUAGACAUACAAGCUUUGUUAGCACUCAUAAUUGAGAUAAGUAUGGCAAUAAUGAUGUUCAAAUGCUUAAACCGUGAUUGUACCAGACCAGUUUGAUGGCUGGUUCGCAAUAGUUGAUAAUCCAGGUACAGUUUAAAAAACACUGCAAAAUAACUAAAGCAAAUCCAAUACAGUUCACAGAUUUGGAUCAGGGUAUAAGAAUAUACUCCAAUUCUACAGCAUUUCAGAGCAAUAUGGCUUCUGGGAAAUAUCAGAAACAGGGCAAAAGUAUCUUCCAGUAAAGAGAAAAAAGUGCAAACCCAGAAACCCUACCAGCAGAAACAACAAAAACGCCCAAAGAAUAAAGCUUUGGAGCGGAGAAUAGUGUCCAUUCAUGAAACCUCACUUUCGUUCAAUAAACACAAAAACAAUUAGGAGAAUCAGAGAAUCAUCCUUUCAACAAACUACAAUUGCCAGCUGAUGAUAAACCCAACUUUUUGUGUAGAUUCUCGAAACAAAGACGACAAGUAAUUGAAUUCGAGAAACGGAAAAGGGGGAAAAGGGGUUGCUGCUGGCUGUCAAUUAAUUACCCUUUCGUUGUCAUCUCGGCUGGAGAACGGUGGAGAUUAGUUUUUACAAAUUUGAUUCCAGAUCAUCUGCGGAUAACAAUAGGUAGAAAGAAAACAAAGAGGGGUGGAAAAGGGAUCCCUGAAUUUGGAAGGGAAUGCCAUUCCAAAAGCGACGGAAAACGGACAAUAGAAAUGGAAUCGAGUCCGCGAAUAAGGAUUUUCAUCUUACCUAACGUAAGGUGACAGGAGCAUUGAGCAACACUGAACCGGUACCGGCGGAGGCAGCUACCACGACGGCUCAAUAGUCAAUUCCCUCGACGCUGGAAGUCUGUUUUACUACAUGCAAAACGAUAUGCAAAACGAUACCGUUUCUCCU